GACGAACGCUGGCGGCGUGCUUAACACAUGCAAGUCGAACGGAAAGGCCCUGCUUUUGUGGGGUGCUCGAGUGGCGAACGGGUGAGUAACACGUGAGUAACCUGCCCUUGACUUUGGGAUAACUUCAGGAAACUGGGGCUAAUACCGGAUAGGAGCUCCUGCUGCAUGGUGGGGGUUGGAAAGUUUCGGCGGUUGGGGAUGGACUCGCGGCUUAUCAGCUUGUUGGUGGGGUAGUGGCUUACCAAGGUUUUGACGGGUAGCCGGCCUGAGAGGGUGACCGGCCACAUUGGGACUGAGAUACGGCCCAGACUCCUACGGGAGGCAGCAGUGGGGAAUAUUGCACAAUGGGCGGAAGCCUGAUGCAGCAACGCCGCGUGCGGGAUGACGGCCUUCGUGUUGUAAACCGCUUUCGCCUGUGACGAAGCGUGAGUGACGGUAAUGGGUAAAGAAGCACCGGCUAACUACGUG
rnacentral:rRNA from 1 species